UCUCUCUCACCUCACGCACCACGUGCAAUUCGCCCAGUUAUCCCAUCCCGACCUCGCGCUAGGGUUAGCGCGGGCGCCAGCCCCAGCCCGCCCCUUGGCUCCUCGGCCGCCGCUCGCCUUCCUCCGGCAGCACCUCGCCGCCGUGUUUGCCUCCUCUCGCAGCUGCUCCGCCUCCGCCAUUUCAAUUCCUCCCAGCACCACGCCAGCGCGUCCCGUCCGCCCUCGAUGUGAUCGACGCCGACGAGGUUCCGUCAUCGUCUCAUCGACAUAUAUCCUGACAAGGUGAGAGGAACGAUCCCAUCAGGUCGAACAGCAAGAGGAACGAUUCCAUCAGGCUGAACGGCGAGCAGCAUCCAUGCCUGACGCACACGGCAUCGUGCCUGCUGAGCUAUACUGUUGCUUCAACUCGGAUGCAGCAGUACUACGUACUCUCCUCUUUCUGAUCAGGACGCUCCCAUCCGAUGGCCGUUGGGGCCGCCCCAUUGAACGUCGCUGUUGUAGGACAAAAUCCCCUGGAUCAUUCCUGGCGUGUAGAAAUUGCCGACUCGCGACUGGAUAUUACCACGGCGCCCGGAGAACGCUCGCUUGUCAGUUUGUGACUGGACAUGACAUGCACCUGGACGAUGAUGUUGCCUCACACCUGAGCAGCUUAACUAAACGAACAAAUCACGUAGGACCGAGGCAAAACAUUUGGUUCUUCAGGCCUAUGACUACUAAGUACUAAUAAGGAACACUUACUACAGAAAUUAAUCGGAUGCUCUAAUCAGAAGAAUUACCAGAAAUAUGAAAGGAAGGAGUCAAAGCUUGUGAAGAAAUGGAGCACUUCCAAGUUUUUGGCCGAUGAUGAUGAUGAGACUGACAACCACAAGGUAAGCUCGCCGAGUGCAUCCUCUCAAGGGUAGGAAGCGUUUUCGGAGGAAGACUGACGACCAAGAGGACGGGAAUGAUGAUGGUGUGAGACAAUGUAGCAGAAAACAAUAGCACAUAUUUCCGAGAGGAGUACAAAGGAGAACAAAAAAAUGGAUGAUGAAGACGUGUCGACACUCUUGAUGUAUGAUAUUCUUCCUAGGAUCUAAUUUUUUUUACAUAAAAACGCAUAGGUAUGAAAUGGUCAAUCAAAAUGUACAACAUCGCUUGUCCAAAAACAUUUUGAUGUGUCUUAUUUUAGGUCAAUAUCAAGUGCGGUUUUGUUAAUUUAGAUAAUGAUGCUUGGAUUGGGGAGACGGAAUAGUGAGUGCUGGAAGAAGACUGAUGUAAUGAAAAAGCUGACACUUGUUUGA